rnacentral:lncRNA from 1 species
GCUUCGCCCCAAAAUAUCGCCCAUCACGCUCAAUUCCUCAAGAAAAACCAUCAAUAAAUUGAGUUGCUAAGCACAGCAAAGUCGGCGAGAUCUUCACACACUAACAGCAAAACCAGCAAUGGGAGCUACAGGAGCUGCCGUCUACAGCGCGCACCUCAAGAGUAACACCCUAUGUUUCAAUUGCUCGAGCUCAAAUCCCCCACCGAGAGCGCUCCAUCGCAUUGAUCAGAGGAAGCCCAUGUUGCUAUCCUUCUCGAAUAGGAAAAGUUUGAAGAAAUUUAGCAGAAUCGCUUGCUCAGCUAUCGAAGAUGUCACGAAGAAGCAGCUGGAAGUCGGCGGCGGCAGCUUGAAUGUCGCUGCUGAAGAUAGACCCGGUAAAGUUGACUGCUUUGUUGAAAUUGUUAGGGUCAAAUUGUUGACAAGCAAUAUCGACGAAUUUAGGUUUCGAUUGCUUGUGUGUGUUUUUGUAGAGUUCUUGAUUUGGCGAUUUUUAUUUCUUGUUAUGUGAAAUGAGUUAGGUUCUAAUUGGUAAUAGUGAUUAGCGAAAUGAGCUCUAUUUGAUCAUGGCGCUUUAUAGUAUUUUGAAGGUAUUUUGUCUUAGCUUAUGUAAGCAUAGUUGACAAGUAAAAUUAUCUGAAAAAAAUUGAAGUACGAGCAUUGCUUGGGGUGCUGAUUUUGAAGCAUGGUAAUGUUUCUAGUUUAAAUUAGAGCUACUGAAAACUAGAUACUUAAUGUAAAUAUUGGAAGGCUGUCGUGUUUUGGGAAACUGGGAUUGGUUGCAUAGCUCUAAUUUAUUCCACAUCUAGCAUUUAGAUUAUCCCAAAUUCAUGAAUUUGGUGUAUGCAAACACCAUGGCAUGUAUUAGCGAUUUGGAAAAGCUGGAUGCAAUUGAAAGAAAAGAAAAUACUUCAAGUUAUGGCACUUAAUUUUCCUAAGUUGCCUUAUGUGAAUGACUAGAAAGAGGGGUAAAAGAUUCAAACUUCGUUUUGAAACCAACUCAGUCGGUUCAAUGGGAGGAUCAUCCUCCCAAUUCGAAGUUUUUGGAAGAUAUGGGCUGAUGUCGGACUAUGGGUCAAUUGCUUGUAUCAAUUAUCUAAAUAUCUAAAUAUUUCUGUUUCCAUUGGUUAAUUAUAUCUGUCUAUGCACAUUGUCGUUUGCAUAUGUUGUUCUACAUCUCAACUUGGUCUGAAUGUCUUUUUUAAGAUGGCAAACAGGGUUGUGUUAGAUGAGAGAUAAAAUUGUGUUAUUUGAUUAUGACAUCAACAUUACAAGUAUGGUAGCUUAUAAGCUACAACAUACUUAAAGAGAUUCAAGCUUAUAAGCUCCUGUAAAUAGGCUUAGCCAAACACCUCUUUGAUAAAAAAUUGACCUCAAACUUCUCGUAUUCACUCAAUAAUCUUUGAUCCUUUAGAUGUCUACCCAUAUCACUUAUAAUCUUCAUAAGUGUGUUCUUGUAGGAUAUUUCCAAUUUUAAAUGCUUUUUUUUUUCAACUGCCCUAGUUCAAUUUCUGUACUUNUAUAUAUAUAUAUAUAUAUAUAUAUAUAUAUAUAUAUAUAUAGGGGAAUGCUAAAAUAAGAACGCUUCUUAAAAUAUAAAUUAGGAACCAUUUUCAGCCCUUAGAUCAUCAAGAUUUACGGUUGAUUCAUCACCUUGUUGGAUAAAUUCAUGGUCCUGAGUUCGAAUCCCAAAGGUAAGACAAAAAAUUAAUUUUUUCGCUAAUUCAUGCCUUUAUACAGUUUAUUCAUGCGUUGUUAUAUAUAAAAUUCAUGCAUUUUUGUUGGUUCGUAAUUCUUAAAAUGAAGGGUGAUUUUAAACUUUAUAAAGAAUUUUAUUUUAUUAUAUUUUCGCUGCUAAAAAGAUAUUUAAAUUUAUAAAUUAAAACUUUAAUUUAUUUCUUGAGGAUUUUUUAGUCAUGUGCAAAAACAGAAAAAAUAUAAAGGUGAUGUAUUUUGGGGCGGAUUUAAAGGUGGUGUGCAAUUCUAGAAUUCAAAGAAAGGUGGGGUAUUUAAGUGCGAAUUUUAAAGGUGAUGUGCAAUUGUAGAAUUCAAGGAAAAGUUGUGUAUUUAGGGGCAAUUAACCCUUAAAAAAAUAGACUUUUAUAUGGAGACUGCUAAGUCUUACCUUGGUUCAAAUAUACAUUAGUCCUAUAACUUUAAUUUUAACAUAAAUUAUAUUAUAAAAAUAACUUUGUCUCUCCAUCAAAAAUAUGAAAUUCUUGGUAGGCACAGGUUCUAAUAAAAUAAAUGGUGAUUUUUAUAUAGUGAAAAAAGAGACUCACUAUUAUAUAUUUAUAUGAAAUGAAUGGUUAAAAUUAAAUUAAAAAUAAACUUUUUUAUAAUUAAAAAAUAUUUGUAAGUAUAUAUGGGAUCAUAUUCUAAAAAAAUGUCAUAUUUUAAACACCAAAUAGCAAAAUAUCAGUAUUUUUUAUAGAAUAAGGGAGUAACAUUUUUCAUAUACUUAGAAAAAUAAGUAUAUAUACCCAUUAACACUUGCUAAUAUUAUGACUUUAGUUUAUCGACUAUAGUGACUUGCACCUCCUUAUCAAUACAUCAAAAAUUAUUUCUAAAAUAUUUCAUUUACAGUAACACUCAAUUUAAUCACACCAAUAUACGUAAUUAAUUAAUUAAUUAUUCAUUUAAUUCCCCACGCUACCGGCGGCGCACGAUAGAACAUCCCGUAGCCAUUCUCCACUACAAUGCGCCGGGCUUCGCUCCCAAAAUAUCGCCCAUCACGCUCAAUUCCUCAAGAAAAACCAUCAAUAAAUUGAGUUGCUAAGCACAGCAAAGUCGGCGAGAUCUUCACACACUAACAGCAAAACCAGCAAUGGGAGCUACAGGAGCUGCCGUCUACGGCGCGCACCUCAAGAGUAACACCCUAUGUUUUCAAUUGCUCGAGUCAAAUCCCCCCGAGAGCGCUCCAUCGCAUUGAUCAGAGGAAGCCCAUGUUGCUACCUUCUCGAAUAGGAAAAGUUU